rfam:Otolemur garnettii contig016744, whole genome shotgun sequence.
CUUCCCUAGACAAAGGAUGCACUCGGAGCCCCACCACACCUAAAGCCACACUUUGAAGGAUCUGCCAAGCUCACUUUUAAUCAUGAGAAAGAAAUUACCCACAUGGAGUCAGCAGAAAAUGAGAAGGUAGAGCUCGUGCUGCGAAUAAUUCCAGCAAGUGCCAAGGGGCUAGUUGAGGAAUGGCUUCAUGAGG